rnacentral:lncRNA from 1 species
GUUUGAGUUGCUUCUCCAAAACUAUAUAGUGCUUCUUUAUCAAAACAGGAUCGCAAUAUUAAAAGACUUUGAGAGAAAAGACCUAAAGAUAACACACAGACAUCAUGUAAACACAUAAGUACACAAAGUAACGACAUUAAAGUGAGUGUCUGUUCUGUGAGUGAGUUCAGGUGACUCCAGCCACGAGGUUUCCAUUCCUCCCCCUUUAAUCAGCUGCAGGAUCUCUGUCAUUUACGCACAGCUCCACUCCUGAAUCCGCUCCUACAGUGUGCCACAGGUAACACACGAACCCGGUGGAGACUUACGAAACGGAAAAACAUUUUUUUUUUGCAGCGGUGAUCUAAUUAUUGCAGUCGGUCCAUUCCUGAGCCCCUCCCUCCUCUUUCCGGGUUACGCAUCAGAGCGCAGCGCUGCUGCCUGCGGUCCUCUUCCUCCCUCCCUCUCUCUCUCAGGCUCACAGCAGCGCCUUCCACUUUCUUCAAGCCUUUCUUCAUGAGUUCACAACGAACCAUGUGGCACAUUCAGUCGACUCGUGGAGAGCGAGGUUCGAGUAGGUGUUGGAUGUCGCGCCAGUCGUGCGUAAAAAACAUGUAACGACGCAGAAGAGGAUCGAUGUCCAGCAGCCCUCUCUGCCCCGCUCACGUCGGGUGUGACUUGGUGAAGCGAGGCGUGAGGCUGCUCUACCUGCGCGUGGAGCAAGGUGAGAAUUACAUUAUUAUACAGCCUGUAAUACUUUAUAUUCAAUGUAGAAUAAAAUGGGAGGUUAGAGAUCAGAAGGCAACAAUCUGGGAACUUAAAAAAACAAACAAUUUAUACCUUUUUUUAAAAGGUAUAUAUUUUUGCUGAUAAUAUCACGGUACAUUAUGAGCUGCUGAGCUGCAGAGACAGAAGUUUGGAGGAAGAUUUCUUUUUAAAUCUGCUUUAAUUUAUUUAAAAUUCAGCACACAGACUUCUGCUGAGAGGCUAAAGGUCUCAGCUGCUGCCAGGAAACGUAGACAUGCUUAUCAUCUGAUGCCAGGCUGUGAAGUGUAGGUGUGUCCAGCUCUCAGGUCUCUGUUAAUGCCUGAUGAGACUUUUGGUCAGAGAGAGUAUUUGUUUUUAUUUGGUAUAUAUAUUUAUUUGUGUAUUUAUGCUGUUUUUGUAUUUUAUUUUCAACGCGUGGAAAGAAAAUUCAGUUAGAAAGUCUGAAGAGACUCAUGAGAGAAGAAGAAGAAGCAAAACCUUUUACAAAGUAA